AGCUUUGUGCAGUGGCAGUAUCGUAGCCAAUGAGGUUUAUCCGAGGUGCGAUUAUUGCUAAUUGAAAAAUUUUUCUGGAAACUUCCUUUAUCUCUAAACCACGCCCCCCCCCAUUAGUUUUGGCAAUCAUUCCCCAAGCAUAUAGCCCACUGAUUUAUAUGGGAAGACUGUCAUGACUUAAGUU
ensembl:snRNA U4 U4 spliceosomal RNA